UUAAAAAGAAACAAAAGAGAGCUCUUCCAGAAAAGACCCCUGAACUACACUGGACAUGAAUUAAAUUCCAUCUAUUGGACCUCAAUUCAUAACUACUUGAGAGAAAACUCAAGUUGACCAAGAAUGCACUUUUGCUUGGAUGGUGUUCCUUCUGGAUGAUGCA
rnacentral:lncRNA from 1 species